rnacentral:rRNA from 1 species
GGUUAAGCGACUAAGCGUACACGGUGGAUGCCCUGGCAGUCAGAGGCGAUGAAGGACGUGCUAAUCUGCGAAAAGCGCCGGCGAGGUGAUAUGAACCUUUGACCCGGCGAUGUCCGAAUGGGGAAACCCAGUGUGUUCCGACACACUAUCGUUAACUGAAUACAUAGGUUAACGAGGCGAACCGGGGGAACUGAAACAUCUAAGUACCCCGAGGAAAAGAAAUCAACCGAGAUUCCCCCAGUAGCGGCGAGCGAACGGGGAGCAGCCCAGAGUCUGAAUCAGCUUGUGUGUUAGUGGAAGCGUCUGGA